rnacentral:lncRNA from 1 species
CAGCUGUUCAGCAUUGUUUACAAUAUAUUGGAAUCACCGCUGACCUAAAGAGCUGAAGAAAAUAACAGGCCAUAUUUUCAGCUUAGUAAAACCCUGCAGUAGGGAGCCCUUUAUGAACAAUUACAAGCAUUUGCUGGAAAUACAUUUGCUGAUUUAACAAACUGGGUAGGACAAAUGUUUAACAUGCUGUCGUAAUGAUGUUCAGAUGCUUUUCUUAGUAUUCGCUGAUCUGAGAUAAUGCGUUCUUGCCCAAUCAUGCUACAAAGAAGCAGAGGAAAUAAAUAAAUAAAUAUAUGUAAUGUGAUGCGCUCUCACAAUAGCAGAGCUGCUGACUGCCCCUGACAGAUGG